rnacentral:lncRNA from 1 species
GCCUCCGCUUCGGUCUCGUGGCUUCUGGAGUCUUCUAGAUGUAAGAUAAUUGCGCGGCACGUUAAUAUCUCUAUGUAAUCCCGACGUGUGGGUCUUUCUUCCAUAUUUCGUGAUAACCCCCUGCAGAAAUAGACAAACACCAAAACUCGUGGAAUUCUGUCAGAUAAAAGCCUAAGUCUAGAUGUUGAUUUCAUUUGGAUCCUUUUCUUUAUUUAUUUGAUAAUUAAAUUUGAUACUUAAAGACCCUCAACAAACUCCCCCAAGCUUACCUCUUGCUCGUCCCUAAGCAAAGAUAGACUCAACUAUGGAUCAUAUGUUGUUGCAAUAUCUUAAAAAAAUUGACGGUACACAUGCUUUUUAAAUAAAAUCUCAUCUCUGAGUUAGAGUAAACUGUCAAGACUUAAAACUUACUUACUUUACCUUCACCAUGGGACUUGUAACCGUCACUUCUAUAUUGAGUAGUUAAAAGAUAGAAGAGUCUAGCCAAGUGCCAUGUCUCUUAUUCUUGAUCAGCUAUAGCUCUGAAGUUUUUGCAGAUUUUCAAAUAAAACUCAGAGAUUCCCUGUAUGACUCUCUCAGAUCUCUCUUUUGUGGUAUUUCUAGAUCCUUACCAAGGCAGUGAUGGUAUAUGCCUUCUCUCAAGAUAUGUAGUAUUUGUGGUAUAAAGCAUAGUGACAUUGCCUUCUCUCUCACCCUACUCUAAUAAGGCUUUAAUAUCUAGAGCUCAUAGGUGGGAGAUAAAAGUAUACAUACUUACAAGACAUUUAUUGCAUAGUCAAACCAUGGAUCCAAAGAAACAAAUCAAUAAGUCAAAUCAAGAUGUGCAUGUGUGGCGAAUGAAUGGUGUAUGGUGAUGAUGGUGAUAACAAUGGUGAAAACAAUGGUGGUGGAAGUCUAAUUCUACUUUUGCUCUUUGAGGGGAUACAUACCUUCCUUGCUUUUUGAAACUUUAUGAGGAGAAUGAGAUGCUCUUCUUUUUCUUUUCUCUCAGGUGGGUAUCUUGUACCCCUAAUUCUACUGUCGGACACUUAUCCAUUUUUACCUCUCGUCUCACUUUUUCUUUUCUUUCAAGGUUCCGAGCACUUGCUCCUUUUUAUUUCCUCGUAUUUUUUUUUCUUCCUCUCUUUUUUUUAGAGCACUCAUCUCUUGAGAUAAUAUAGCAAGUGGUAGUAACAAGAUAACUUGAGCAUUUAUUUCACAAGGGAAAACAGAAAUAUUUUUGGUUAUUCUCUCUCGGAUUAGGAGUAGAAUAUUUUUGGAUGAUUCUAGAGAUGGAAUGGGUGGAUAUAUGUGGAUGGUACUUCCGGAGUAGAAGUAGCAUAUAUGAGUGAACGUGCAAGUGAAAUCUUGAUUUAACCACAUGACAAGCUCCUAAGGGUCUACACAGCUUGACCACACUCAAUGCUCAUAAGCAGUAAAUAGUAAAUGUGUGGCUCAAAGUCUAGCAAGCAUGUAUAUAUGGCUGUGGUAGGAAUUUAAACUCUCAUCAUACAGGAACUCAUCAUGCAACAUUUUGAAGAUUUUUUUUCAAAGAUAAAAUUCUCCAGAAUUCUAGCAUCUCUAGGAACAGAUAAACAGCAGCUCAACCUUCCCAUAUCAUAUCCGUUAACAACUUAGAUUUCAGAUCAAGUUUUCAUCCCACAAGUUUAGGUCUAGAGCAAGCCUUAAAUUAUAACAGUUAUGUCCAAACUUGAGAGAGAACUUAAAAUGUGCAAAUUAGGCAGAGCAACUAUUCAUCAUAUCCAUGCUUGAGUUUUAUUAUUAAGAUACAGAUUAGCAUAGCCACUUUAUUUAUUUAUUAAACACACUAAGCAAAAGAUAUAUAUAUAUAUAUAUAUAUAUAAGCAUAAAAUCUUUAUUUGAUUUUUCCAUAGUUAUGUAUAUUUAUAUUCUAAAAUAGUAUAAGUAUAAAGAUAGAUAGAUAGAAAUACUUAUCGGGAUAAAUGGGGGUGCUCUCCCCCAAGCUGAAUUUUGACGUAAUUUCUCUUGAUGUAGCUAGCAGGUGGCAGAGGUGUAUUUGAAAGUCAGCAGCAUUCUGACAGCGAUUAGAAUGUCCUCCGUCUGCUAGUCUUCUUACAUUCUGUGGAGCUCAAAUAGACAACAAAGCUUGUGGAACUGAUUAAGUGUUAGCCUAAAUAUCUAGCCUUUAUCAUGUUGAGACUCAUUAAUAAUUAUUACUUCCUGUUUUUAUAUUUUUGUUUUAUAAAGCAAAAAAGAAAUUUUUAUUUUAUUUUUAUGCCACCACAGUGAAUGUACUUAUGGGUUUUAUGCCACUCGUCUACUCACAUGGGGCUUACUGUUUUUCACAUUUUUAUUUUCUUUUUAGGAUAGCACGAACAUGAUUAAUUAAGUAAACUAGUUAAAAUAAUUGAAAGGGGAAAUGAUAACUACCAAGUUUACCUCUUGGCAAGGCGUUCGGUGUUUUUAAGUCCUCCGAACGGGACUCUCCAUUUUCUCAAUUGUCCUGGGAUUCGUUGGGUGGCGUAGUCGGUACUUCCGGCAGUGCCUCCUCUUCAUGUAUAGUUAUCUUCUCUUUCCAUACCUGACUCGGUGCUACGGUCUCCUCUGGAUAGUUUUGUUUAAACUCUACAUCUUCUGACCUUAUCACUUCUCCUUCAUAGUCUGCCCAUCCGUCCUUGAUGAUCUGCCUCCUCUGGUUGCGGUUGCGUCAUUUCCUUACCUGCUUAGAUUCUUCAACGAUAUAGUUAGGGUCAGUAAAAUAACGGCGUACCUUCUCUGAGGGGAAGUGCAUAUGGACUUCUCCGGUUCCAAUGUAGAUGAUUGCUUUAACGGUGCUGAGGAACGGUCUUCCAAGGAUGAUGGGUGGAUCGUAUUCAUCUUCUCCCAUGUCAAUAACCUGAAAGUCUGUGUAGACAAAGUGAUCGUCUAUUUUGACUGGGACAUCAGUUACUAUUCCUUUAACUUCUCGAAAUGUCUGAUCUGCCAUCUGGAGUUGAAUGUAUGUUGGUCUUAGUGGCAUGGUUCCGAACAAGAGCCGUGUUGACACCGUUUUUGGGCACGUGUCCAGGAUGACAGGAUAGGGUGGCAGUACAAUGCGGGUUGCUGAUGAGGAUGGUUGCCGAUGAGGGAAAGGUUGAAUGUGACUACAUCCACAGGCGGUAAUAUGGUGCCGAUGGCUGGGUGAAAAGGUCUGCCGAUGACUACGGCAAGGGGAUUGCCGAUGACGCGAAGGAGGAGUCUGGAAGCUGCCAGUUGUUAUCUGGAGGAGUUUCGGUUUGUCACGAAGGAUAGUUUUAUUAUUUCCUUAGUUGUUUGCAUCGUUUUGUAUACGGAUUCCGUGUAAUUUGGAAUUCGAAUUCUAAUCGUGUCUGGUCGUAGCUCUUUGAGCAGGGUAUAAAUAUAAACCCUAGGACCUUGUAAUCAAGAUAUCAAGAAAUCAAUCAAACACACGUUUUUACUCAUAUUCCAGCAUUUACUUUUCGACGACUUCGUCAUACUUUUUUCCUUUUAUUACGAGUUCUUAGGAAUUCGUCGACUUAAGCUCGGCGUGUUCUCGAGUUCCGCGUGAGUACCUCUUAGCCGUGACAUCCGGGCGCAUCGCUGUUGUCAGGACUAAAGUAUUCGAGUUAUCACCUUUGCCGAUAGCAAGGUUAAAUCGGCUGGCACGCC